rnacentral:rRNA from 1 species
AGUCGAACGGCAGCACGGGUGCUUGCACCUGGUGGCGAGUGGCGAACGGGUGAGUAAUACAUCGGAACAUGUCCAGUAGUGGGGGAUAGCCCGGCGAAAGCCGGAUUAAUACCGCAUACGAUCUUAGGAUGAAAGCGGGGGAUCGCAAGACCUCGCGCUAUUGGGGUGGCCGAUGGCGGAUUAGCUAGUUGGUGGGGUAAAGGCUCACCAAGGCGACGAUCCGUAGCUGGUCUGAGAGGACGACCAGCCACACUGGGACUGAGACACGGCCCAGACUCCUACGGGAGGCAGCAGUGGGGAAUUUUGGACAAUGGGCGAAAGCCUGAUCCAGCAAUGCCGCGUGUGUGAAGAAGGCCUUCGGGUUGUAAAGCACUUUUGUCCGGAAAGAAAUCCUUUUCGAUAAUACCGAAGGGGGAUGACGGUACCGGAAGAAUAAGCACCGGCUAACUACGUGCCAGCAGCCGCGGUAAUACGUAGGGUGCGAGCGUUAAUCGGAAUUACUGGGCGUAAAGCGUGCGCAGGCGGUGAUGUAAGACCGAUGUGAAAUCCCCGGGCUUAACCUGGGAACUGCAUUGGUGACUGCAUCGCUGGAGUAUGGCAGAGGGGGGUAGAAUUCCACGUGUAGCAGUGAAAUGCGUAGAGAUGUGGAGGAAUACCGAUGGCGAAGGCAGCCCCCUGGGCCAAUACUGACGCUCAUGCACGAAAGCGUG